rnacentral:sRNA from 1 species
CGUCUAUGUACUGCUGCGGGGCGAUCAUGUGUAUGUGCGUGUCAAAGUGGCCGGGCGUGCAUAUCGUAUGCUCGCCGGCGGUCGCUUCCGUGCAGGCCGACACCACCAUGUUCGGGUUAACCCCGUCCAUUGUGAGCGGGUUGCCGGCCUUUCCAACCCCUGCUAUCUUGCCGUCCUUGAUGCCAAUAUCAGCCUUGACUAUCCCAAGCACGGGAUCCAGGAUGACCGCGUUUGUUAUGACAAAGUCCAAGGCGCCAUUCUUGUUCGUGACACCGGGCGUCUGGGCAAGGCCGUCUCUGAGCG